GAGUGUGUCAGUGGAAUAUGGUCAUCGUCAGCAUGGAUUGGAAGUCCUUGGAGUCUGAAGACUUGAGGAAUUUGUGAGACACAAAAACACAGGCCAGAUCUUUACCAAAAAAGGGAGCCAGUUUUCCUCACAGGGACUCUUCACACCAAGAUUUCAAUGUGGAACCCAGCUGGUUGGAAGUGAUUUCAUAUUGUUCCUGGAAAAGGCUGUGGGUCUGGAAGAUGUACUAUCAACAGUGGGCCUGGAUCAUUCACCACAGCACUUGGCAGAGGUGUGGGUGGAUAUACCACAUGCAAAGCAAAACUGCAGCCUGACCACCCAGUUUAUAUAGAAUCCCUGCCUCCACCUCUAAGCUGCCAGCCAUUUCUGUUCCAGCAGCCUUGCCAGUCUUGGCCUCAACCAGCACUAAAUGAUCAAAGUUAUGAGCACAGCAUACAACCGUGUAUCAUACCCAAGCAAAAUCUUCAUGGUUGCUUUGUUCUGCUGUGUGUUCUUUAGUUUUAGGAAGCAUAGGUACUUAGAGAAAUAAAACUACCCACACUUCACCCCCAGUGUCUGCCAAGAAGGGGUACUGGCUCACUCUUAACAAUCAACCCUUCCUUGGGUAGUUCCAGAGAAACGGGCAGGUGCCAAUAUAAAUCUGGAAGUUUUGAGUUUAUGUCCUGCUUCUCACACAUGAUGACCUACAUUCUCAUCUGAGAGCUUCUCACACGUGAUGACCUACAUUCUCAUCUGAGAGAGAGACACAUCUGUCCUAUUCUCCUCAGAGGUGCGGCAUCUAGGAGAAAGCAUAUGAUGAACGGGAGUGUACCAUGUUCAUAUGAAGAACCGUGUUCAUGAUACCAAGACCUUUUAUAUUUCUUGGACUUUAUUAUUUUUUUCCUUGAUCUUUUAUUCCCUUUUCAUUAUUUU
rnacentral:lncRNA from 1 species